AGUCACUAAGCAUGUGAACAGGCAGAUUGCAACAGACACAAUGCCUUUGAUCCUCAAAUCCCACCGUUGGGAGGACUGGAAGAAACAGAGAAAGGCAGCACAGAGGACACAAGUGUCCAGCCAGCUCAAGCUUUUGGCAGUCC
rnacentral:lncRNA from 12 species